rnacentral:rRNA from 1 species
GGGGUUAAAAUUAAUAAAUAGUAAAUGAGAAUUAAUAAAAAAAAUUUUAAUGUUAAAAUAUUUAAUGGGGGUUAAAGUAUUUUUAAUAGAAAAAAUUUGAAAUUUUAUAGUUUAUAAGUAUUGUGAAAGAAAUUUGAAAUAAAUUUAAAAUAAAUUUUUUAAAAAGUAGAUUUAAUUUAUUGUAUCUUGUGUAUCAGAGUUUAUUAAAAAUUUUUUAUAUUUUAAAUUUCUCGAAUUUAAAAGAGUUAAUUAAUUAUAAAAUUUAUUGUUUCAUAAAUAUUUUAAAUAAUUAAUUAGAAAUGAAAUGUUAUUCGUUUUUAAAUAUAUCUAGUUUUUUAAGAAAAAAAUUUAAUUUUUAAUUAAUUUUAAAAAUUAAUUAAUUAUAAUUAAUUAAUUUUUAAAAUUUAAUUUAAUAUUUUAAGGGAUAAGCUUUAAAUUAAAUUUUUAUAAUUUAUUAUUUAUGAAUUUGAAAAUUUUAUAAUUUAUAUUGUUAAUAAAUUUUAAUUUAUUAUAAAUAAUUUCAUUUAAUUUUAAAAUUUAAUUUUAAUUUAAUAUUUUAUUAAAAAAUAUUUUUUAAUUAAUUAUAUUUAGUUAUAAUGAUAAAAUUAGUAUAUAAUAUUGUAUGAAUAUAAUUAAAAUUAAAAUUUAUGAUAAUUAUUUUAAAGGAAUUCGACAAAAAUUUAUAUUCACCUGUUUAUCAAAAACAUGUCUUUUUGUAAAUAAUUUAAAGUCUAAUCUGCCCACUGAUUUUUAAUUAAAGGGCUGCAGUAUAUUGACUGUACAAAGGUAGCAUAAUCAAUAGUCUCUUAAUUGGUGACUUGUAUGAAAGAUUGGAUGAAAUAUAGAUUGUCUCUAAUAUAUAUAUUUGAAUUUAAUUUUUUAUUUAAAAAGUUAAAAUAAUUUAAAAAGACGAGAAGACCCUAUAGAGUUUUAUAUUUAUUUAAAUUUAAAUUAUGAUUUAAUUUAAUUUAAAUUUAGAUUUAAUUAAAUAUUUUGUUGGGGUGAUAGAAAAAUUAAUAAAACUUUUUUUAAAUUUAAUCAUUGAUAUAUGAGUUAUUGAUCCAAUUAUUAUUGAUUAUAAGAAAAAAUUACCUUAGGGAUAACAGCGUAAUUUUUUUUUUUAGUACUUAUAAGAAAAAGAGUUUGCGACCUCGAUGUUGGAUUAAGAUAAAAUUUAAAUGCAAAAGUUUAAAAUUUUUGAUCUGUUCGAUCAUUAAAAUCUUACAUGAUCUGAGUUCAAACCGGUGUGAGCCAGGUUGGUUUCUAUCUUUUAAUAAUUUUAAUAUUUUAGUACGAAAGGAUUAAAUAUUAUAAUUAAAUUAAUUAUUUUUGAAUUUUAUUAAUAAUAAAUUUAAUAUAUUUAUUA